GUGAGGUAAUAUAUAGGAGGGAUUCACAUUUGUUCCAGACCUUUUCAUACUCUACCAUUACCCCGAAACCCGUCUACGCGGAGAGAGUGAGAGAAAGCUUAUACGCAGAUCCAACUACUGAAAUGGCCAUCUGUUGCCGGAGAGGAGAUCGGCUCCUCUUUGUGAUUCGGUAAGCUCUCGAAGCUCUUAUGUCGUGGUUGGAGUUUCUCUGUGAAUCGUUUAAAGUCUCGAGUACCGAAGCGGCGAAAUCUAGAAAGUAAGGGCAAAUCGUUGACUUAUUAGUCGCCGGCCGCCGUCCUCCAGUGAGGUGGGUGGAGGAGGAGGAGGAGAGUCGGAGGUGUUAGGUUUGGAGGCAUGUGAGUUGCUGUUUGGAAUGUGAAUUUGGUGUGCAUUUGAGGUUGCAUGUGACCUCUGCCGCGUUCUCUGUGGAGCUGUGAUGAAUUAUAUUUCAUAGUAUGCACACAAUUACAAACAUCAUGUUAAUUGAAAAGGAAUGUUUCAGUCAUAGUGAAGAAAGUGGGAUUCCUUUUGAAUUGUGAAUGCAAUUGCAUUAGCAGCGGGGUGGAAGUUGAGAUGGUUCAAAGCUAUCAAAUAAAAUGAAAAAAGAGAAUGAUGGAAUCCACGUUCGGCAAUCGUCUCGAUGGACAUGGGCCCUUAACAUGCUUCCUUGGGCAAAUGGGCAGUCGUCUGUUCUAACCAGGAAACCUCGGUAAUUAAGAAAAUAGUAAAAUAGUAAUAAUUAAGUAUAGUAAAGCAGGGGGUGUUGCAUAAAGCAUAUGAUUUUUUUCCUAAUUUUGUCUUUAUUACUAAACUUUUGAGUUUACUCCAUUUUAUUUUAAAUUCCGUUGCAAUUUAAACUUACAAAUGGUCGUGUGAUGUGUUUUGAGGUACGAGGACUAUU